rnacentral:lncRNA from 1 species
UGAAAAAAUAAAAGGUAGCUUUUAGAUGUCCAAAUUGAAAAUAUAAAACUCACCAAAUUAAAAAAAGAUAGAUUUAGCUAUCUCAGCUUAUUUCCUAAAGUAAUACAUGAGCUGGUUAAAUGGCUUCUCCCAUCUUAGCAACUUCUGUUUAAAAUUCUGUCAUAGGCCGGCAGGCUCUGAGUUAUAUUUAUGAAUAUAUUUUUCUGAAAUUAAUCUCAAAAGAGGCAUUUGUUCAGAGUAAUUUUGAAGGAAGAAUUUAAAUAAAAUAUUUAGGCAAAUACCAGAAAUGACUUUUUAUUGUUUUGAGAUAAAGUCAUUCAUAUUUUGGUUUUGUUUUUUCCAUGUUUAAAUUAUUUACAUGAUUUGAGUGGGAAAGUCCUAAAACCUUUAUCCUGUGGCUGCUUGAUAUGUGUAAUUAUUAAUGAAAUGUUCACUCUAGUCCUCUUGAGGGUUAGAUUUUCAAGCACGUGUCAGGUCAAACAGUAUUACAAACCAUAUUUUGAGGUUGUGAGACAGCACAUUUGUAGAUGAAGCUUGCUGCCUGCCGUUUGCAGACUAUUAAUGAGUGCUAGGUACCAAAUUGUAGAAAUGUCAGUUUUUAGUAAUGUUACAGUUGAGGCUGGUGAAAAAUGCAAAUGAAACUUUGUGGGAACACUGAUUCAUGUUAAGAAAAUGUAAAUAUCUGUAGCACUUUCUUACAGUUAAUUUGAAAACUUUGAAUGCUGAACCUUAUUUUGUCAGUGGUUUAUAGAUGAUUUAAAAAUGCAUGUGAUUUUAAUUUUGUAAUUGUUUUGACAAGCAUAAUUUACUUGGACAACUUUGUAGGUAGCCUUAACUUCUGCCCAAGUUUGUUUUU